GAUGAACGCUAGCUACAGGCUUAACACAUGCAAGUCGAGGGGCAGCAUGAACUUAGCUUGCUAAGUUUGAUGGCGACCGGCGCACGGGUGAGUAACACGUAUCCAACCUGCCGAUGACUCGGGGAUAGCCUUUCGAAAGAAAGAUUAAUACCCGAUGGCAUAGUUCUUCCGCAUGGUAGAACUAUUAAAGAAUUUCGGUCAUCGAUGGGGAUGCGUUCCAUUAGGUUGUUGGCGGGGUAACGGCCCACCAAGCCUUCGAUGGAUAGGGGUUCUGAGGAGGAACGGUCCCCCACAUUGGAACUGAGACACGGUCCAA
rnacentral:rRNA from 1 species